rnacentral:rRNA from 1 species
UACGUAGGGGGCGAGCGUUGUCCGGAAUUAUUGGGCGUAAAGAGCGUGUAGGCGGUUCGGUAAGUCUGCCGUGAAAACCUGGGGCUCAACCCCGGGUGUGCGGUGGAUACUGCCGGGCUAGAGGGUGGUAGAGGCGAGUGGAAUUCCCGGUGUAGCGGUGAAAUGCGCAGAUAUCGGGAGGAACACCAGUGGCGAAGGCGGCGAUCUGGGAAGAUACUGACGCUGAGGUGCGAAAGCGUGGGGAGCAAACAGG